CCAAUAGCGUAUAUUAAAGUUGUUGCAGUUAAAAAGCUCGUAGUUGAACUUCGGGGUUCACCCAUUGGUCAGGCUUAAUUGUCUGUACUGGUGAGAUGAGUCUCUACCUUCUGAGGAACUUUCAUGCCAUUUAUUUGGUGUGGUUGGAAAUCAGGACUGUUACUUUGAAAAAAUUAGAGUGUUUAAAGCAGGCUAACGUCUGAAUACAUUAGCAUGGAAUAAUGAAAUAGGACGGAUUGAUUCUAUUUCGUUGUUUUCUAGGGUCACCGUAAUGAUUAAUAGGGAUAGUUGGGGGCAUUAGUAUUCAAUUGUCAGAGGUGAAAUUCUUGGAUUUAUUGAAGACUAACUACUGCGAAAGCAUUUGCCAAGGAUGUUUUCAUUAAUCAAGAACGAAAGUUAGGGGAUCGAAGACGAUCAGAUACCGUCGUAGUCUUAACCAUAAACUAUGCCGACUAGGGAUCGGACGCAGUUAAUUUUAUAAUGACGUGUUCGGCACCUUACG
rnacentral:rRNA from 1 species